UACGAAGGGGCUAGCGUUGCUCGGAAUCACUGGGCGUAAAGCGCACGUAGGCGGCUUGUUAAGUCAGGGGUGAAAUCCUGGAGCUCAACUCCAGAACUGCCUUUGAUACUGGCGAUCUUGAGUCCGGGAGAGGUGAGUGGAACUGCGAGUGUAGAGGUGAAAUUCGUAGAUAUUCGCAAGAACACCAAUGGCGAAGGCAGAUCUCUGGGCCGUAACUGACGCUGAGGAGCGAAAGCAUGGGGAGCGAACAGG
rnacentral:rRNA from 1 species